GAGGAAGCCCGGUGAGAAUCCGGCGCGGUCCCGCCACUGUGAACCCGGCCACCACCGGGCGAGCCAGGAACUC
rnacentral:ncRNA from 1 species